rnacentral:pre_miRNA from 1 species
UAGCUCUUGUUGGAGAAGCAGGGCACGUGCAAGUUCCAUGUAGCUAAUACUAUCUCUCAAACUUUGCACGUGCUCCCCUUCUCCACCAUGAGUUC